rnacentral:rRNA from 1 species
CUAAGAAUCUUGCGCAAUGGGCGAAAGCCUGACGCAGCAACGCCGCGUGGGGGACGAAGGCCCUCGGGUCGUAAACCCCUUUUGCGAAGGAAGAAGUUCUGACGGUACUUCGCGAAUAAGACACGGCUAACUACGUGCCAGCAGCCGCGGUAAUACGUAGGUGUCAAACGUUGUCCGGAUUUAUUGGGCGUAAAGCGCCCGCAGGCGGCUCUGCAAGUUCCAAGUGAAAUCUCCCGGCUCAACUGGGAGGGGUCUUGGAAAACUGCAGGGCUUGAGGCAGGGAGAGGGAUGCGGAAUUCCAGGUGUAGCGGUGGAAUGCGUAGAUAUCUGGAGGAACACCAGUGGCGAAGGCGGCAUCCUGGCCCUGUCCUGACGCUGAGGGGCGAAAGCGUGGGGAGCAA